GCAGCCUGAUGCAGCGACGCCGCGUGAGGGAUGACGGCCUUCGGGUUGUAAACCUCUUUCAAUAGGGACGAAGCGCAAGUGACGGUACCUAUAGAAGAAGGACCGGCCAACUACGUGCCAGCAGCCGCGGUAAUACGUAGGGUCCGAGCGUUGUCCGGAAUUACUGGGCGUAAAGAGCUCGUAGGUGGUUUGUCGCGUUGUUCGUGAAAACUCACAGCUUAACUGUGGGCGUGCGGGCGAUACGGGCAGACUAGAGUACUGCAGGGGAGACUGGAAUUCCUGGUGUAGCGGUGGAAUGCGCAGAUAUCAGGAGGAACACCGGUGGCGAAGGCGGGUCUCUGGGCAGUAACUGACGCUGAGGAGCGAAAGCGUGGGGAGCGAACAGGAUUAGAUACCCUGGUAGUCCACGCCGUAAACGGUGGGUACUAGGUGUGGGUUUCCUUCCUUGGGAUCCGUGCCGUAGCUAACGCAUUAAGUACCCCGCCUGGGGAGUACGGCCGCAAGGCUAAAACUCAAAGAAAUUGACGGGGGCCCGCACAAGCGGCGGAGCAUGUGGAUUAAUUCGAUGCAACGCGAAGAACCUUACCUGGGUUUGACAUGCACAGGACGCCAGUAGAGAUAUUGGUUCCCUUGUG
rnacentral:rRNA from 1 species